rnacentral:rRNA from 1 species
CAGUCGCCGCGGUAAAACGAAGGGGGCUAGCGUUGUUCGGAAUUACUGGGCGUAAAGCGCACGUAGGCGGAUAUUUAAGUCAGGGGUGAAAUCCCGCAGCUCAACUGCGGAACUGCCUUUGAUACUGGGUAUCUUGAGUACGGAAGAGGUUAGUGGAAUUGCGAGUGUAGAGGUGAAAUUCGUAGAUAUUCGCAGGAACACCAGUGGCGAAGGCGGCUAACUGGUCCAUAACUGACGCUGAGGUGCGAAAGCGUGGGGAGCAAACAGGAUUAGAUACCCGUGUAGUCCCUGUCUCUUAUAC